UACGGGGGGAGCAAGCGUUGUUCGGAUUUACUGGGCGUAAAGGGCGCGUAGGCGGCCUCUGCAAGUCGACUGUGAAAUCUCCGGGCUUAACCCGGAACGGUCAGCCGAUACUGCAGGGCUAGAGUGCAGAAGGGCAACUGGAAUUCUCGGUGUAGCGGUGAAAUGCGUAGAUAUCGGGAGGAAUACCUAUGGCGAAAGCAGGCUACUGGACCGUCACUGACUCUGAUCUGCGAAAGCUAGGGAACAAACAGG
rnacentral:rRNA from 1 species